UACGUAGGGGGCAAGCGUUGUCCGGAAUCAUUGGGCGUAAAGCGCGUGUAGGCGGCCCGGUAAGUCCGCUGUGAAAGUCCAGGGCUCAACCCUGGAAUGCCGGUGGAUACUGUCGGGCUCGAGUCCGGAAGAGGCGAGUGGAAUUCCUGGUGUAGCGGUGAAAUGCGCAGAUAUCAGGAGGAACACCGAUGGCGAAGGCAGCUCGCUGGGACGGUGACUGGACGCUGAGACGCGAAAGCGUGGGGAGCAAACAGG
rnacentral:rRNA from 1 species